rnacentral:rRNA from 1 species
UACGUAGGGACCGAGCGUUGUCCGGAAUCAUUGGGCGUAAAGAGCGUGUAGGCGGCCACUUAAGUCCUGCGUGAAAUCUUGCGGCUCAACCGCAAGCGGUCGUGGGAAACUGGGUGGCUAGAGUACUGCAGGGGAGACUGGAAUUCCUGGUGUAGCGGUGGAAUGCGCAGAUAUCAGGAGGAACACCGGUGGCGAAGGCGGGUCUCUGGGCAGUAACUGACGCUGAGGAGCGAAAGCGUGGGGAGCGAACAGG